CAGGCUGCAACUCGCCUGCAUGAAGCUGGAAUUGCUAGUAAUCGCGGAUCAGCAGGCCGCGGUGAAUACGUUCCCGGGCCUUGUACACACCGCCCGUCACACCAUGAGAGUCGGGAACACCCGAAGUCCGUAGUCUAACCGCAAGGGGGGCGCGGCCGAAGGUGGGUCCGGUAAUUGGGGUGAAGUCGUAACAAGGUAUC
rnacentral:rRNA from 1 species